AAGUCGUAACAAGGUUUCCGUAGGUGAACCUGCGGAAGGAUCAUUAAAAAAAGGGUCGCAAGACCUAUUUUUAAACACUAUCGCCGCCUAUCAUCUAUGGGUAGGAUACUCUUGUCUAUGGGUGAGAUGGAGGAGGUAGGGUUUUUUAAAAUCCAAUUAUUAUUAUAAAAUAUAUCGUCUAAUGACGAACCAAAAAAAAUUUAUUAAAACUUUCAACAAUGGAUCUCUUGGCUCUC
rnacentral:misc_RNA from 1 species